CGUGUGCUUACAAGUAGUCAGAGCCCGUUAAUGGGUGAUGGCGUGCCUUUUGUAGAAUGAACCGGCGAGUUACGAUUUGAUGCAAGGUUAAGCAGUAAAUGUGGAGCCGUAGCGAAAGCGAGUCUGAAUAGGGCGUUUAGUAUUUGGUCGUAGACCCGAAACCAGGUGAUCUACCCUUGGUCAGGUUGAAGUUCAGGUAACACUGAAUGGAGGACCGAACCGACUUACGUUGAAAAGUGAGCGGAUGAACUGAGGGUAGCGGAGAAAUUCCAAUCGAACCUGGAGAUAGCUGGUUCUCUCCGAAAUAGCUUUAGGGCUAGCCUCAAGUGAUGAUUAUUGGAGGUAGAGCACUGUUUGGACGAGGGGCCCCUCUCGGGUUACCGAAUUCAGACAAACUCCGAAUGCCAAUUAAUUUAACUUGGGAGUCAGAACAUGGGUGAUAAGGUCC
rnacentral:rRNA from 1 species